GACGAACGCUGGCGGCGUGCUUAACACAUGCAAGUCGAACGGAAAGGCCCUGCUUUUGUGGGGUGCUCGAGUGGCGAACGGGGGAGUAACACGUGAGUAACCUGCCCUUGACUUUGGGAUAACUUCAGGAAACUGGGGCUAAUACCGGAUAGGAGCUCCUGCUGCAUGGUGGGGGUUGGAAAGUUUCGGCGGUUGGGGAUGGACUCGCGGCUUAUCAGCUUGUUGGUUGGGUAGUGGCUUACCAAGGCUUUGACGGGUAGCCGGCCUGAGAGGGUGACCGGCCACAUUGGGACUGAGAUACGGCCCAGACUCCUACGGGAGGCAGCAGUGGGGAAUAUUGCACAAUGGGCGGAAGCCUGAUGCAGCAACGCCGCGUGCGGGAUGACGGCCUUCGGGUUGUAAACCGCUUUCGCCUGUGACGAAGCGUGAGUGACGGUAAUGGGUAAAGAAGCACCGGCUAACUACGUG
rnacentral:rRNA from 1 species